rnacentral:rRNA from 1 species
GACGAACGCUGGCGGUGUGCUUCACACAUGCAAGUCGAACGAGGUAGCAAUACCUAGUGGCGGACGGGUGAGUAACGCGUGGGAAUCUGCCCAUAGGUGGGGGAUAACUAGCCGAAAGGUUAGCUAAUACCGCAUAUGCCGAGAGGUAAAAGGAGUAAUCCGCCUUUGGAUGAGCCCGCGUCCGAUUAGCUAGUUGGUAGGGUAAAAGCCUACCAAGGCUACGAUCGGUAGCUGGUCUGAGAGGAUGAUCAGCCACAAUGGGACUGAGACACGGCCCAUACUCCUACGGGAGGCAGCAGUGGGGAAUUUUACGCAAUGGGGGAAACCCUGACGUAGCGACACCGCGUGAACGAAGAAGCCCUUUGGGGUGUAAAGGUUCUGUCGGCUGGAACGAAAAAAUAGACGGUACCAGCAAAGGAAGCAAUCGGCUAACUACGUGCCAGCAGCCGCGGUAAU